rnacentral:rRNA from 1 species
UACGUAGGGGACAAGCGUUGUCCGGAUUUAUUGGGCGUAAAGAGCGUGUAGGCGGCCAGGUAGGUCUGGUGUGAAAGCUCGAGGCUUAACCUCGAGAUGUCGGCGGAAACCAUCUGGCUAGAGUCCGGAAGAGGAGAGUGGAAUUCCUGGUGUAGCGGUGAAAUGCGCAGAUAUCAGGAAGAACACCCGUGGCGAAGGCGGCUCUCUGGGACGGUACUGACGCUGAGACGCGAAAGCGUGGGGAGCGAACAGG